rnacentral:snoRNA from 1 species
AUAGCAGGCUGCAAUUGCAGUGCUUCAUUCUGUGGGAGUACUGCCAUUUUCCUGCUGAGAGUAAUUCUGUUAAUGCUGUCUUUGGUUUUACCUGUAUGUUGGUGAAACUUUUGUCCUUAACAUGAACAUCA